AGGGUUGUAGCUUAGUGGUUAGAACAUCUGCUUUGCAUUCACAAGGUCCUAGGUUCAAUCCCUAGCAUUUCCA